rfam:Ictidomys tridecemlineatus contig020100, whole genome shotgun sequence.
UGGGAUUUAGCUCCAUGGUAGAGCUCAUACUUAGCAUGUUUGAGCCCUGGGUUCAACUCCCAGCACUCUAC